UCAGAAUUUUUUCUUCUUCAGUUGCCCUAAUACCCCUCCGUAAUAUGUAAUGCUAAACACUUCAAAUUAACUUUUGAAUUCAGCAGUUUAUCAUUGGAUUUAGAUGCAGAUAUCACUGUCUUGGAAAAUUGGUCAGAGCAAUUUGGCAUUGAGUUUGAUUAGUAAACUUGACAGUAUUUACACUCUUAAUCUUCUUAGGAAUUACAUGAUGUCCACACAAGGCGUACCACUGUUCUCCAUGCCCUUCCUGUCUAUCUACGUGAGGAAACCUCUGGAUUUUUGAGGACAUGUGUGGAUGAUACCAAUGAGCCGGACCUCAGGGAUGCAGCAGUUGUCCUCCUGACAACCAUCACAGAUGAUGCCGAGAGUCCGGUUACGUACGACCCAGUGAGAAUCUGUUCUCCUAGAGGGUGAUGUGAUUGUCAACCUCUCCAGGCUUCCUGAUGCCUUCCUGGGCAUGCUCAGUUGAAGUUUCCAUCUCUGCGCGUUCAAGAUGUAAGAAAAAUAACACGAAAGAAAUGCAACAAUGAAAACUUCAAAAAGGCAUCAACAACCAA